rnacentral:rRNA from 1 species
CAAUAGCGUAUAUUAAAGUUGUUGCAGUUAAAAGCUCGUAGUUGGAUUUCUGGUUCGCUGCGCCUGGCCCGCCUGCGUUAGCAGUGUGAGUGCCGGUUGCGCGGUAGCCAUCCUUCUGGAGAACGCGCCUGCCUUUUAUUAGGUUGGGUGCGCGACCCAGAUCCUUUACUUUGAAAAAUUAGAGUGUUAAAGCAGGCAUUUGCUCUGAAUACAUUAGCAUGGAAUAAUGAUAUAGGACUUUGGUUCUAUUUUGUUGGUUUCUAGGACUGAAGUAAUGAUUGAUAGGGAUCGUUUGGGGGUGGCUAGUAUUGAGCGGUCCAGAGGGCUGAAAUUCUUGGAUUCGCUCAAGACUAACUUAUGCGAAAG